rnacentral:rRNA from 1 species
GGUUAAGCGACUAAGCGUACACGGUGGAUGCCCUGGCAGUCAGAGGCGAUGAAGGACGUGCUAAUCUGCGAAAAGCGUCGGUAAGGUGAUAUGAACCGUUAUAACCGGCGAUGUCCGAAUGGGGAAACCCAGUGCAAUUCGUUGCACUAUCGUUAACUGAAUACAUAGGUUAACGAGGCGAACCGGGGGAACUGAAACAUCUAAGUACCCCGAGGAAAAGAAAUCAACCGAGAUUCCCCCAGUAGCGGCGAGCGAACGGGGAGCAGCCCAGAGUCUGAAUCAGCUUGUGUGUUAGUGGAACGGUCUGGAAAGUCCGACGGUACAGGGUGAUAGUCCCGUACACCAAAAUGCACAGGCUGUGAACUCGAAGAGUAGGGCGGGACACGUGGUAUCCUGUCUGAAUAUGGGGGGACCAUCCUCCAAGGCUAAAUACUCCUGACUGACCGAUAGUGAACCAGUACCGUGAGGGAAAGGCGAAAAGAACCCCGGCGAGGGGAGUGAAAAAGAACCUGAAACCGUGUACGUACAAGCAGUGGGAGCACCUUCGGGUGUGACUGCGUACCUUUUGUAUAAUGGGUCAGCGACUUAUAUUCUGUAGCAAGGUUAACCGUAUAGGGGAGCCGCAGGGAAACCGAGUCUUAACUGGGCGUUAAGUUGCAGGGUAUAGACCCGAAACCCGGUGAUCUAGCCAUGGGCAGGUUGAAGGUUGGGUAACACUAACUGGAGGACCGAACCGACUAAUGUUGAAAAAUUAGCGGAUGACUUGUGGCUGGGGGUGAAAGGCCAAUCAAACCGGGAGAUAGCUGGUUCUCCCCGAAAGCUAUUUAGGUAGCGCCUCGUGAACUCAUCUUCGGGGGUAGAGCACUGUUUCGGCUAGGGGGUCAUCCCGACUUACCAACCCGAUGCAAACUACGAAUACCGAAGAAUGUUAUCACGGGAGACACACGGCGGGUGCUAACGUCCGUCGUGAAGAGGGAAACAACCCAGACCGCCAGCUAAGGUCCCAAAGUCAUGGUUAAGUGGGAAACGAUGUGGGAAGGCACAGACAGCCAGGAUGUUGGCUUAGAAGCAGCCAUCAUUUAAAGAAAGCGUAAUAGCUCACUGGUCGAGUCGGCCUGCGCGGAAGAUGUAACGGGGCUAAACCAUGCACCGAAGCUGCGGCAGCGACGCUUAUGCGUUGUUGGGUAGGGGAGCGUUCUGUAAGCCUGCGAAGGUGACCUGUGAGGGUUGCUGGAGGUAUCAGAAGUGCGAAUGCUGACAUAAGUAACGAUAAAGCGGGUGAAAAGCCCGCUCGCCGGAAGACCAAGGGUUCCUGUCCAACGUUAAUCGGGGCAGGGUGAGUCGACCCCUAAGGCGAGGCCGAAAGGCGUAGUCGAUGGGAAACAGGUUAAUAUUCCUGUACUUGGUGUUACUGCGAAGGGGGGACGGAGAAGGCUAUGUUAGCCGGGCGACGGUUGUCCCGGUUUAAGCAUGUAGGCUGGUUAUCCAGGCAAAUCCGGAUAAUCAAGGCUGAGGUGUGAUGACGAGGCACUACGGUGCUGAAGUAACAAAUGCCCUGCUUCCAGGAAAAGCCUCUAAGCAUCAGGUAACAUCAAAUCGUACCCCAAACCGACACAGGUGGUCAGGUAGAGAAUACCAAGGCGCUUGAGAGAACUCGGGUGAAGGAACUAGGCAAAAUGGUGCCGUAACUUCGGGAGAAGGCACGCUGGUGUGUAGGUGAAGUCCCUGCGGAUGGAGCUGAGACCAGUCGAAGAUACCAGCUGGCUGCAACUGUUUAUUAAAAACACAGCACUGUGCAAACACGAAAGUGGACGUAUACGGUGUGACGCCUGCCCGGUGCCGGAAGGUUAAUUGAUGGGGUUAUCCGUAAGGAGAAGCUCUUGAUCGAAGCCCCGGUAAACGGCGGCCGUAACUAUAACGGUCCUAAGGUAGCGAAAUUCCUUGUCGGGUAAGUUCCGACCUGCACGAAUGGCGUAAUGAUGGCCAGGCUGUCUCCACCCGAGACUCAGUGAAAUUGAACUCGCUGUGAAGAUGCAGUGUACCCGCGGCAAGACGGAAAGACCCCGUGAACCUUUACUAUAGCUUGACACUGAACAUUGAGCCUUGAUGUGUAGGAUAGGUGGGAGGCUUUGAAGCGUGGACGCCAGUCUGCGUGGAGCCAACCUUGAAAUACCACCCUUUAAUGUUUGAUGUUCUAACGUUGGCCCCUUAUCGGGGUUGCGGACAGUGUCUGGUGGGUAGUUUGACUGGGGCGGUCUCCUCCCAAAGCGUAACGGAGGAGCACGAAGGUUAGCUAAUCCUGGUCGGACAUCAGGAGGUUAGUGCAAUGGCAUAAGCUAGCUUGACUGCGAGCGUGACGGCGCGAGCAGGUGCGAAAGCAGGUCAUAGUGAUCCGGUGGUUCUGAAUGGAAGGGCCAUCGCUCAACGGAUAAAAGGUACUCCGGGGAUAACAGGCUGAUACCGCCCAAGAGUUCAUAUCGACGGCGGUGUUUGGCACCUCGAUGUCGGCUCAUCACAUCCUGGGGCUGAAGUAGGUCCCAAGGGUAUGGCUGUUCGCCAUUUAAAGUGGUACGCGAGCUGGGUUUAGAACGUCGUGAGACAGUUCGGUCCCUAUCUGCCGUGGGCGCUGGAGAAUUGAGGGGGGCUGCUCCUAGUACGAGAGGACCGGAGUGGACGCAUCACUGGUGUUCGGGUUGUCAUGCCAAUGGCACUGCCCGGUAGCUAAAUGCGGAAGAGAUAAGUGCUGAAAGCAUCUAAGCACGAAACUUGCCCCGAGAUGAGUUCUCCCUGAGACUUUAAGUCUCCUGAAGGAACGUUGAAGACGACGACGUUGAUAGGCCGGGUGUGUAAGCGCAGCGAUGCGUUGAGCUAACCGGUACUAAUGAACCGUGAGGCUUAACCUU